rnacentral:rRNA from 1 species
UUAUACGACCGUACCGCAAACCGACACUGGUGCGCGAGAUGAGUAUUCUAAGGCGCUUGAGAGAACUCAGGAGAAGGAACUCGGCAAAUUGACACCGUAACUUCGGAAGAAGGUGUGCCCUAUUAGUGUGUAGUGAACAACGAAGCAUGAAUGGGUUGCAAAAAAUCGGUGGCUGCGACUGUUUAUUAAAAACACAGCACUCUGCAAACACGAAAGUGGACGUAUAGGGUGUGACGCCUGCCCGGUGCUGGAAGAUUAAAUGAUGGGGUGCAAGCUCUUGAUUGAAGUCCCAGUAAACGGCGGCCGUAACAAUAACGGUCCUAAGGUAGCGAAAUUCCUUGUCGGGUAAGUUCCGACCUGCACGAAUGGCGUAACGAUGGCCACACUGUCUCCUCCUGAGACUCAGCGAAGUUGAAAUGUUUGUGAUGAUGCAAUCUCCCCGCGGAAAGACGGAAAGACCCCAUGAACCUUUACUGUAGCUUUGUAUUGGACUUUGAACAGAUCUGUGUAGGAUAGGUGGGAGGCUUUGAAGCAGGGUCGCUAGAUCUUGUGGAGCCAACGUUGAAAUACCACCCUGGUGUGUUUGAGGUUCUAACCUAGGUCCAUUAUCUGGAUCGGGGACAGUGCAUGGUAGGCAGUUUGACUGGGGCGGUCUCCUCCCAAAGCGUAACGGAGGAGUUCGAAGGUACGCUAGUUACGGUCGGACAUCGUGACGAUAGUGCAAUGGCAUAAGCGUGCUUAACUGCGAGACUGACAAGUCGAGCAGAUGCGAAAGCAGGACAUAGUGAUCCGGUGGUUCUGUAUGGAAGGGCCAUCGCUCAACGGAUAAAAGGUACUCUGGGGAUAACAGGCUGAUACCGCCCAAGAGUUCAUAUCGACGGCGGUGUUUGGCACCUCGAUGUCGGCUCAUCUCAUCCUGGGGCUGUAGCCGGUCCCAAGGGUAUGGCUGUUCGCCAUUUAAAGAGGUACGUGAGCUGGGUUUAAAACGUCGUGAGACAGUUUGGUCCCUAUCUUCCGUGGGCGCUGCAGAUUUGAGGAAGCCUGCUCCUAGUACGAGAGGACCGGAGUGGACACACCUCUGGUGUAUCGGUUGUCACGCCAGUGGCAUUGCCGAGUAGCUAAGUGUGGAAGAGAUAACCGCUGAAAGCAUCUAAGCGGGAAACUCGUUUCAAGAUGAGAUCUGCCGGGGCCUUGAGCCCCCUAAAGAGUCGUUCAAGACCAGGACGUUGAUAGGUCAGGUGUGGAAGC